rnacentral:rRNA from 1 species
CGGCGGACGGGUGAGGAGAGCGUGGGAAUCUGCCUGUAGAUGGGGGAUAGCCCGGAGAAAUCCGGAUUAAUACCGCAUAAUACCUGAGGGUUAAAGUGGAGGAUCGCAAGACUUCACGUCUACAGAUGAGCCUACGUCAGAUUAGCUAGUUGGUAGGGUAAAGGCCUACCAAGGCGACGAUCUGUAGCUGGCCUGAGAGGGUGGCCAGCCACACUGGAACUGAGACACGGUCCAGACUCCUACGGGAGGCAGCAGUGGGGAAUAUUGGACAAUGGGCGCAAGCCUGAUCCAGCCAUGCCGCGUGUGUGAAGAAGGCCUUCGGGUUGUAAAGCACUUUAAGUUGGGAGGAAGGUUCGAUGGAUAAUACCCAUCGGAAUUGACGUUACCAACAGAAUAAGCACCGGCUAAUUCCGUGCCAGCAGCCGCGGUAAUACGGAAGGUGCGAGCGUUAAUCGGAAUUACUGGGCGUAAAGCGCACGUAGGUGGCUCCUUAAGUCGGAUGUGAAAGCCCUGGGCUUAACCUGGGAAUUGCAUCCGAUACUGGGUGGCUAGAGUACGGUAGAGGGAGGUGGAAUUCCAGGUGUAGCGGUGAAAUGCGUAGAGAUCUGGAGGAACACCGGUGGCGAAGGCGGCCUCCUGGACUGAUACUGACACUGAGGUGCGAAAGCGUGGGGAGCAAACAGGAUUAGAUACCCUGGUAGUCCACGCCGUAAACGAUGUCAACUAGUUGUUGGGUUCCUUGAGGACUUAGUAACGAAGCUAACGCGAUAAGUUGACCGCCUGGGGAGUACGGCCGCAAGGUUAAAACUCAAAUGAAUUGACGGGGGGCCCGCACA